AGAUUGAACGCUGGCGGCAUGCCUUACACAUGCAAGUCGAACGGCAGCACGGGAGCAAUCCUGGUGGCGAGUGGCGAACGGGUGAGUAAUAUAUCGGAACGUGCCCAGUCGUGGGGGAUAACGCAGCGAAAGCUGUGCUAAUACCGCAUACGAUCUAUGGAUGAAAGCGGGGGAUCGCAAGACCUCGCGCGAUUCGGAGCGGCCGAUAUCAGAUUAGCGUAGUUGGUGGGGUAAAAGCCUACCAAGGCGACGACUCUCGUAGCUGGUCUGAGAGGACGACCAGCCACACUGGAACUGAGACAACGGGUCCAACGGUACUCCGUACGGGAGGACAGCGAGGUGGGG
rnacentral:rRNA from 1 species